GAAGAUAUAGCUGAGUGAUAGAGUGUGUGCUUAGCAUGCAUGAGGCCCUGGGUUCAAUCCUCAGUCUCUCCA
rnacentral:tRNA from 1 species